CUCUCCCGAUCGAAAAAAAAAACGCAUCCUGCCGCACGCCAGCCCUUCCUCCUCCGGUCCUCCCGAUCGCCCCUCCCCCGUCCAGCGCCCUUCCUCCUCCGUCGCCCGCGCGUCCUACUCCGGCGGCGCCCGCCGGAUCGCACCCAGCCUGCUGCUGCACCCGCCAGCUCGUGCCCGGCCGUUCGCGCCGCUCCUUCCGUGGCGUCCCCGUCGCCGCUGCCCCACAUCGGGCGUCACUCCUCCCUCGGCGUCGGCGUCGCCGAUGCCCUACAUCGCCGGUGAUCCCACGCCGCCCUCGGCGAGGAGGGACGACAGCCCGAAGCUCUGUGGCACCGUCCGUCUCGUGCUGCCAUAUCCGGUUCUUACUCCAGUACUCGCCCAAAGCAACGUCCGUGGAGCCGCAUCCUAGCAGACAAGACGAGGGCUUUUCUCUCCGCGUGAGCACCUGCAGGCGGCUGCAGCACAAUGGAACGUAUUUGCUCGUGUGAGAAGGUUUAGGUUGUUUAGGAGAAGUGAAGAACACCAGGCAAACGGCUAAUUGUUAGGCACAAAUGAAACAAGUAUAUGGUAUGCAGGUAACAACAAUUAGCUCAUUCACCACAUCGAGCUCGGCUGGUCGUGUACUAAUCAUUUUUUAAAGGGACAUGCUCUUGUGAACAAGAAUAUGAUUUUGAUAUAUACUUGGCGUGCAACUAUUUCGAGGUCUGGACCACUUGAUCUUAUACUUGAAGCAAACAUUUUGCACGGAGGAGUAAGCAUGUGCGACUAUCACAUACCUAUCAUUUGGAACACUGAAGUUGCCUUUACGGAUGAUGUCUCGUCUGUAUUAAGCUUAUGCUCUUUGUUACACAUGAUUAAUGGAGCUUGUAUUAGUCUCCAAAUAAGCUUGGCCAAGGCUGUAGGCUCCCCUUUGUGCCACUUUGAUUGGUCUCCGAUAGUGUGCAGGUGCUCAAAUGUCAUUAUGUCCAUUUGCAUUAACUAGGCGUGAAAUAUAUUAUCAGAUCAGUCAGCAAAAAUAGCAAAGUUCGAUGACCUCUGUUUAUUGGACGCUUUAAUGUCUGAGUUAUUUCUUUUGUGCUUAAUAUUUGGGAUGUCAAGCUGCUGAUACAAUAACUUAACGAUUGAUUGCAGUAGGUGUCUUAUCUGUUUUGGUCUGGGGUGUCUUCUUCUUCCUCAUUGGGAUUCUAACAGCUAUUUCUUCUGACUUCUUAUCAAUCACUACUACCAUGAGCAAUGAUGGAGACCAUACCUGCCCACUCUGCGCUGAGGAGAUGGACAUCACUGACCAGCAGCUCAAGACAUGGAAAUGCGGAUAUGAUAUUUGCAACUGGUGCUGGCACCAUAUCAUAUACAUGGCUGAGAAGGAGGAGGCAUAGAUGGACUUGAGAACCCAACCAUUUUCCAGUGCCAUAAGAUCUUGCGAACCAUAACCUGGGCAUAAACCAUUUGCACCCCCAUUUGCACCCAUUUAUAUAUGAGCCUUCUUUUGUCUGUUAAGUUUCUUUGUGACGCUGGCGGUGGCAGCAUCCCGAUCGCCCUCGGCUGCUGCGCGAGCAUUCUGUGAGCACAGGCCAGCAGUGUCUUGACUCCCUCCAGCAAGCUCCCCUGCUCCCCUGAUACUCCACCUUGUACAGACCUGCCCAAUAAGAUUAUUAGACAAUGGUUGCUCAACUAGAGCACCAGUUACCUCUUCGAAGGCAUUUUGUUCAGGAUUAUGGUUCUUUUGUCAUGUGAGUUUUCUUUUAUUGCAUUUCCUUCGAUCAGUGCUCUUACAAUUAAAAGUCAUGUCUUUAGCAGAUGAUAAUGAGUACAUUCAAUGCACAACUGACAUCACGUGUAUGCGGAGCAAUGGGAGGAUGGAGGUUGUUGCUGACAACUAGGCAACGCAGAGCUCUGGCAAGCGACUGGGGCAUUAGCAGGAGGUUAAAAAUAGGGUGGUGCAUGGGGCCAGGGAGGUGAAAAGCGAGAGGAAAAGUGAUAAAAUUGCACUGAUUUGUACCUUUAUUCUACUGUAUCACGUAUCUAACUAUUUGUUUGCAUGGUCACUUGUCUCCAAGUCUUCCAUAAGAGGAGAGUCCUGUGCGAGGCGGAUCAA